rnacentral:rRNA from 1 species
GACGAACGCUGGCGGCGUGCUUAACACAUGCAAGUCGAACGAUGAACCAUUUCGGUGGGGAUUAGUGGCGAACGGGUGAGUAACACGUGGGCAAUCUGCCCUGCACUCUGGGACAAGCCCUGGAAACGGGGUCUAAUACCGGAUACCACCAUCGCAGGCAUCUGUGGUGGUUGAAAGCUCCGGCGGUGCAGGAUGAGCCCGCGGCCUAUCAGCUUGUUGGUGAGGAGAAGCUCACCAAGGCGACGACGGGUAGCCGGCCUGAGAGGGCGACCGGCCACACUGGGACUGAGACACGGCCCAGACUCCUACGGGAGGCAGCAGUGGGGAAUAUUGCACAAUGGGCGAAAGCCUGAUGCAGCGACGCCGCGUGAGGGAUGACGGCCUGGUGUAACGU